rnacentral:rRNA from 1 species
GAUGAACGCUGGCGGCGUGCCUAAUACAUGCCAGUCGAGCGAACAGACGAGGAGCUUGCUCCUCUGACGUUAGCGGCGGACGGGUGAGUAACACGUGGAUAACCUACCUAUAAGACUGGGAUAACUUCGGGAAACCGGAGCUAAUACCGGAUAAUAUAUUGAACCGCAUGGUUCAAUAGUGAAAGACGGUUUUGCUGUCACUUAUAGAUGGAUCCGCGCCGCAUUAGCUAGUUGGUAAGGUAACAGCUUACCAAGGCAACGAUGCGUAGCCGACCUGAGAGGGUGAUCGGCCACACUGGAACUGAGACACGGUCCAGACUCGUACGGGAGGCAGCAGUAGGGAAUCUUCCGCAAUGGGCGAAAGCCUGACGGAGCAACGCCGCGUGAGUGAUGAAGGUCUUCGGAUCGUAAAACUCUGUUAUUAGGGAAGAACAAAUGUGUAAGUAACUAUGCACGUCUUGACGGUACCUAAUCAGAAAGCCACGGCUAACUACGUG